rnacentral:rRNA from 1 species
UACGUAGGGUGCAGGCGUUAAUCGGAAUUACUGGGCGUAAAGAGCGCGCAGGCGGUCGUUCAAGUCGAGUGUGAAAGCCCCCGGCUCAACUGGGGAGGGUCAUUCGAUACUGAUCGACUUGAAGGCAGGAGAGGGAAGUGGAAUUCCCGGUGUAGUGGUGAAAUGCGUAGAUAUCGGGAGGAACACCAGUGGCGAAGGCGACUUCCUGGCCUGUUCUUGACGCUGAGGCGCGAAAGCUAGGGGAGCAAACGGG